UUAAAUUGAAGAGUUUGAUCAUGGCUCAGAUUGAACGCUGGCGGCAGGCUUAACACAUGCAAGUCGAACGGUAACAGAAAGCAGCUUGCUGCUUUGCUGACGAGUGGCGGACGGGUGAGUAAUGUCUGGGAAACUGCC
rnacentral:rRNA from 1 species